rnacentral:lncRNA from 7 species
UGGUUUCUUGAGUGAGCAAGGGCAAGGCUUCUGAGAUGGGAAAUCAUGCAACUUGAUCUCAGUGUUCUUUUGCUGGAACCGGUGGUCACAGUCCUGAACAUUCAACUAUGACUGUCCUGCCUAUAAUUUGUCCUCUCUAAGAUGGCAGAGAAGUUUCUAUGGAGACACAGGAGGAGGCAGCAGAUUUCUGUUGCUGGCAGCAGGAGAGGACUGGGCUCACCAACCAUGCUGAGCUCUCUACCUGUUGGCAAGAAGCAACGCUACACAGCCAAACGUGUGGCUCUGGGCCAUGCAUUUCCUCAUUAGCUCACCCUUCUGUUGAGCCCCUGUAUUUUUGGAGUCAAGUGGAACCACUCCAGGGACUGGGUGUUGUUGUGAGCAUGAAGGGGGCAUAAAUGCAUAUUUGGGCAUUUGGAAAGCUUUUGGAGUGAACGUUUUCCUCUUUGUUUCAGUUUGUUGCUUUCAUUGAGCUGGAGAAGACAGACAGGUGCUGGCUGCCUGGCUUUGUUCAUUGUUCCUGGUACCAACUCCCAUCUUUGUAUUUGCAGUCAACAAGGCACGUAUAGAGCAGGAACAGAAUAUUUUUAUAGCAACCAUGCUUGGUUUCUAUCAAAACAAACUUGCUUUACAAAAAUGACCCAGCUUUAAAACAUAUUGGCUCAUUGUACUUUCAUGUCAUAGGUUCUAGCAGGGAGACCAGCAGUGACAUGGCAGGUCCUUGCAAUGUGGUGAUAAGUUUUAGGGCAAGGCCAGUACUUUAUCCAAACUGAAGGUGGUAGUCAACCUGUCUUUUAUUGAAUGUUCAAGUCAGAGUUCUAGCUAGGGCCAGAUGCAAGGCUUUAUGAACAUUUCUGUAGAGACAAAGCAUCACAAACCAUCUGUGAUGACAACUGCCAUUCAACCCCUCAGCCAAAGAAGGGUUUUACCCAAAGCUAAAGGGCACCACUAUUUCAUGCAGAAGGUCUCAGCUAAUUGAGGUUCAAAUACGUGGCUUUUCAUCACCACUAUAUACUUUCAUAGUGACCCACUAAAAUAGCUGAAAAACCAUUUGCCAAGUCUCUGCUCUCAUCUUCUCUAGGGCAGCAAUGAGUAUGACAGAUGACCAAAGCAAGCUGUGACUGCCCUUGAGCUGUCACUACUGAGAAUCAGGAAUGAUUUACUUAAAACUACUCUGCCAUGGUGGAAAAAACUGUCUUUUAGUUAAUUAGGUGUGACAUGUGUCUGCUCUCUUCCCAAUUAUCAUGUCAUAAUGGCUCAAGCUUAUAAGCCAAAGGAGUUUAUCACUGCACAGGGUCUUGUAGGGCCAGCAGGCUUGAGAGCUGGCCUGUUAUUUCCAUAUCUUAUUGCUUGAAGGUGCUGGACUUUGGCAUGUACUCUUACUUACGAACACCACUAUAGCUGUCAUCAUCUCUUUUCUUCCCAGCAUUGUUCUGUGGAGGGCAUAUAUGUUUUUGUUACCUUAAAUGUCAGGGUAUGUGAAAUAAACACAGUUUAUUCUGAGUACCAGCAAC